GGGGAGAGAGGUCAGGAAGGUGAGGAAAGGUGGGUACUAAGUUAAUAGACAGGCAUACAAAGUUCUACACAGCACAGUGGCUGUCAUGCUAAUGAUGACACGUUUAAAAUAACUGCAAGAAAGGAUUCUGAAUAUUUUUAUCAUAAAGA